rnacentral:rRNA from 1 species
UACGGGGGGAGCAAGCGUUGUUCGGAUUUACUGGGCGUAAAGGGCGCGUAGGCGGUCGUGACAAGUCACUUGUGAAAUCUCCGGGCUUAACUCGGAACGGUCAAGUGAUACUGUCGGACUAGAGUACAGAAUGGGCAACUGGAAUUCUCGGUGUAUCGGUGAAAUGCGUAGAUAUCGAGAGGAACACCUGCGGCGAAGGCGGGUUGCUGGGCUGAUACUGACGCUGAGGCGCGAAAGCCAGGGGAGCGAACGGG